rnacentral:rRNA from 1 species
AUUGAACGCUGGCGGCAUGCUUUACACAUGCAAGUCGAACGGUGACAGGCCGCAAGGUGCUGACGAGUGGCGAACGGGUGAGUAAUGCAUCGGAACGUGCCCAGUCGUGGGGGAUAACGCAGCGAAAGCUGUGCUAAUACCGCAUACGAUCUAUGGAUGAAAGCGGGGGACCGUAAGGCCUCGCGCGAUUGGAGCGGCCGAUGUCAGAUUAGGUAGUUGGUGGGGUAAAGGCCCACCAAGCCAACGAUCUGUAGCUGGUCUGAGAGGACGACCAGCCACACUGGGACUGAGACACGGCCCAGACUCCUACGGGAGGCAGCAGUGGGGAAUUUUGGACAAUGGGCGCAAGCCUGAUCCAGCAAUGCCGCGUGCAGGAAGAAGGCCUUCGGGUUGUAAACUGCUUUUGUACGGAACGAAAAGGUCUGGGUUAAUACCCUGGGCCGAUGACGGUACCGUAAGAAUAAGCACCGGCUAACUACGUGCCAGCAGCCGCCGUAA